rnacentral:rRNA from 1 species
AAAUUGAAGAGUUUGAUCAUGGCUCAGAUUGAACGCUGGCGGCAGGCCUAACACAUGCAAGUCGAACGGUAACAGGAAGCAGCUUGCUGCUUCGCUGACGAGUGGCGGACGGGUGAGUAAUGUCUGGGAAACUGCCUGAUGGAGGGGGAUAACUACUGGAAACGGUGGCUAAUACCGCAUAACGUCGCAAGACCAAAGAGGGGGACCUUCGGGCCUCUUGCCAUCAGAUGUGCCCAGAUGGGAUUAGCUAGUUGGUGAGGUAACGGCUCACCAAGGCGACGAUCCCUAGCUGGUCUGAGAGGAUGACCAGCCACACUGGAACUGAGACACGGUCCAGACUCCUACGGGAGGCAGCAGUGGGGAAUAUUGCACAAUGGGCGCAAGCCUGAUGCAGCCAUGCCGCGUGUAUGAAGAAGGCCUUCGGGUUGUAAAGUACUUUCAGCGGGGAGGAAGGUGUUGUGGUUAAUAACCACAGCAAUUGACGUUACCCGCAGAAGAAGCACCGGCUAACUCCGUGCCAGCAGCCGCGGUAAUACGGAGGGUGCAAGCGUUAAUCGGAAUUACUGGGCGUAAAGCGCACGCAGGCGGUCUGUCAAGUCGGAUGUGAAAUCCCCGGGCUCAACCUGGGAACUGCAUUCGAAACUGGCAGGCUUGAGUCUUGUAGAGGGGGGAAUUCCAGGUGUAGCGGUGAAAUGCGUAGAGAUCUGGAGGAAUACCGGUGGCGAAGGCGGCCCCCUGGACAAAGACUGACGCUCAGGUGCGAAAGCGUGGGGAGCAAACAGGAUUAGAUACCCUGGUAGUCCACGCCGUAAACGAUGUCUACUUGGAGGUUGUGCCCUUGAGGCGUGGCUUCCGGAGCUAACGCGUUAAGUAGACCGCCUGGGGAGUACGGCCGCAAGGUUAAAACUCAAAUGAAUUGACGGGGGCCCGCACAAGCGGUGGAGCAUGUGGUUUAAUUCGAUGCAACGCGAAGAACCUUACCUGGUCUUGACAUCCACAGAACUUUCCAGAGAUGGACUGGUGCCUUCGGGAACUGUGAGACAGGUGCUGCAUGGCUGUCGUCAGCUCGUGUUGUGAAAUGUUGGGUUAAGUCCCGCAACGAGCGCAACCCUUAUCCUUUGUUGCCAGCGGUUAGGCCGGGAACUCAAAGGAGACUGCCAGUGAUAAACGAGGAAGGUGGGGAUGACGUCAAGUCAUCAUGGCCCUUACGACCAGGGCUACACACGUGCUACAAUGGCGCAUACAAAGAGAAGCGACCUCGCGAGAGCAAGCGGACCUCAUAAAGUGCGUCGUAGUCCGGAUUGGAGUCUGCAACUCGACUCCAUGAAGUCGGAAUCGCUAGUAAUCGUGGAUCAGAAUGCCACGGUGAAUACGUUCCCGGGCCUUGUACACACCGCCCGUCACACCAUGGGAGUGGGUUGCAAAAGAAGUAGGUAGCUUAACCUUCGGGAGGGCGCUUACCACUUUGUGAUUCAUGACUGGGGUGAAGUCGUAACAAGGUAACCGUAGGGGAACCUGCGGUUGGAUCACCUCCUUA